rnacentral:rRNA from 1 species
GACGAACGCUGGCGGCGUGCUUAACACACGCAAGUCGAACGGGCCCGCCCCUGUUUUUGGGGGUGGGUUGAGUGGCGAACGGGUGAGUAUCACGUGAGUAACCUGCCCCCUGCUCCUGGAUAACUGCUUGAAAGGGCGGCUAAUACGGGGUGUGCCGGCUGGUCCGCAUGGGCCUGGUCGGGAUAGUUUCAUCUUCGGGUGUUUCGGUGGGGGAUGGGCUCGCGGCCUAUCAGCUUGUUGGUGGGGUGAUGGCCCACCAAGGCGGUGACGGGUAGCCGGCCUGAGAGGGUGGGCGGACACACUGGGACUGAGACACGGCCCAGACUCCUGCGGGAGGCAGCAGUGGGGGGUAUUGCACAAUGGGCGGAAGCCUGAUGCAGCGACGUCGCGUGAGGGAUGGAGGCCUUCGGGUUGUGAACCUCUUUCUCCGGUGGUGAAGGCCCUGUCCGUUGCGGCGGGGUUGACGGUAGCCGGGUAUGAAGCGCCGGCUAACUACGUG